rnacentral:rRNA from 1 species
UAUUGCACAAUGGGCGCAAGCCUGAUGCAGCCAUGCCGCGUGUAUGAAGAAGGCCUUCGGGUUGUAAAGUACUUUCAGCGGGGAGGAAGGUGUUGCGGUUAAUAACCGCAGCAAUUGACGUUACCCGCAGAAGAAGCACCGGCUAACUCCGUGCCAGCAGCCGCGGUAAUACGGAGGGUGCAAGCGUUAAUCGGAAUUACUGGGCGUAAAGCGCACGCAGGCG